rnacentral:rRNA from 1 species
UACGAAGGGGGCUAGCGUUGCUCGGAAUCACUGGGCGUAAAGGGUGCGUAGGCGGGUUUUUAAGUCAGGGGUGGAAUCCUGGAGCUCAACUCCAGAACUGCCUUUGAUACUGAAGAUCUUGAGUCCGGGAGAGGUGAGUGGAACUGCGAGUGUAGAGGUGAAAUUCGUAGAUAUUCGCAAGAACACCAGUGGCGAAGGCGGCUCACUGGCCCGGUACUGACGCUGAGACGCGAAAGCGUGGGGAGCGAACAGG